UACGGAGGGGGUUAGCGUUGUUCGGAAUUACUGGGCGUAAAGCGCGCGUAGGCGGACCAGAAAGUUGGGGGUGAAAUCCCGGGGCUCAACCCCGGAACGGCCUCCAAAACUCCUGGUCUUGAGUUCGAGAGAGGUGAGUGGAAUUCCGAGUGUAGAGGUGAAAUUCGUAGAUAUUCGGAGGAACACCAGUGGCGAAGGCGGCUCACUGCUCGAUACUGACGCUGAGGUGCGAAAGUGUGGGGAGCAAACAGC
rnacentral:rRNA from 1 species